CCUACGGGAGGCAGCAGUAGGGAAUCUUUCACAAUGGGCGAAAGCCUGAUGGAGCAACGCCGCGUGCAGGAUGAAGGCCUUCGGGUUGUAAACUGCUUUUAUAAGCGAGAAAUAUGAUGGUAACUUAUGAAUAAGGAUCGGCUAACUACGUGCCAGCAGCCGCGGUCAUACGUAGGAUCCGAGCAUUAUCCGGAGUGACUGGGUGUAAAGAGUUGCGUAGGUGGCAUAGUAAGUAGCUAGUGAAAUCUGGUGGCUCAACCAUUCAGACUAUUAGCUAAACUGCUAAGCUCGAGACCGUUAGGGGUAACUGGAAUUUCUAGUGUAGGAGUGAAAUCCGUAGAUAUAUGGAAGAACACCAGUGGCGAAAGCGGCUUUCUGGUCUGUAACUGACGCUGAGGUUCGAAAGCGUGGGUAGCAAACAGGAUUAGAUACCCGAGUAGUC
rnacentral:rRNA from 1 species